CUCUCUCUCUCCGGGUUCUCCCCGACCCUCCGGGUUGGGUGGAGGGGAGUAGAGGGUCGAUCGCGAUGUCCUCUGCUCCUCCCGCACCGCCGGUAGGGCGCCGGUACCGGCAAGGGGGGUCGGUGUACGCCGGUAGGGCGCACGGGGCCGCCACCUAUUCCGGUGGGGAGCGGAGUGCCUGUUUAGGAUCUAUGCGUAGGGGGGAGCGAGAGAGGGAGCAGCUAGGGCGGGCGUUGGCGUCGGCGGCAGCGGUACUGGGGGCGGCAAGGGCACGAGGGGCAGCAGCGGCGCGACCCAAUCGCACAGGUCCUCGUGAGGCGGAAGCGUAAGUAGCGGCCUCGGUGGUCUAGCUCGGGCCCUUCGACGGGGUAUCUGCAGCACAGAAGAAGGAGACGGUGCCGCCGGUGCUUCUAGGCGAGCUAAGUGAGCGGGAGCUGGAAGAAGCCGAAGUGGCUCGACGAGCAGUUGCGAUGGAGCUCUGAUGGCCGCUGGGGUCAAGCUGAUUCCACAACUGCUGGGGAGGAGCUGAUUCGAAUGUCCUCGGUCUCCUAGGGCUCCUACAAAGAUGCACCUCAAGCCGAAGCUCCUCAUCAAUCCUCCAGGGUCCGUCCUCCGGAACGGAAAAGCUAGCAAAGAUGAAAACACGAUCGGAAGAAUUCCGUUUUGAACAAAUUGAAUAUAGACAUGAGUCUAUAAUAACGAAGACGACUGAGAACACAAAAGCUCCAAUACAUAAGCUCGGGAGCUCCGGGGACCGAACAUUAUAUUUCGAACAUAAUAA
rnacentral:rRNA from 1 species